UAGGGAAUCUUCGGCAAUGGACGAAAGUCUGACCGAGCAACGCCGCGUGAGUGAAGAAGGUUUUCGGAUCGUAAAACUCUGUUGUUAGAGAAGAACAAGGACGUUAGUAACUGAACGUCCCCUGACGGUAUCUAACCAGAAAGCCACGGCUAACUACGUGCCAGCAGCCGCGGUAAUACGUAGGUGGCAAGCGUUGUGCGGAUUUAUUGGGCGUAAAGCGAGCGCAGGCGGUUUCUUAAGUCUGAUGUGAAAGCCCCCGGCUCAACCGGGGGGGGUCAUUGGAAACUGGGGGACUUGAGUGCAGAAGAGGAGAGUGGAAUUCCAUGUGUGGCGGUGAAAUGCGUAGAUAUAUGGAGGAACACCAGUGGCGAAGGCGGCUCUCUGGUCUGUAACUGACGCUGAGGCUCGAGAGCGUGGGGAGCAAACAGG
rnacentral:rRNA from 1 species